AUGCGGAGUAUACGCAUGAACUCUGACUGGACGCCGUGCUCUGGUGUACUUCCCCGAUAUCAGAGCAUGGAGCGUACCAGUCAGGGCUCUGUGUAGACCCCGCCUUUAC
rfam:Corynebacterium diphtheriae NCTC 13129, complete genome